ensembl:lncRNA
GCCGUGGAGACAGUGGGAAACAAGCUUGAGGGACUGGUGAGCGGGUGGCCUCAUUUCACCCAGGGACAGCCCCAGCCCCAGCCCCACAGCUCAAAUUGGAAGGCUUGUGCGUGCCAGGUCGACAGUUCCCAUUUUUCUCUCAGCCUCUCCCUCCAAAAUGCAGGACCGGCGGACCCUGCCGAUGCGUCCUCGCCGACUCACCUGGGGCGGGGGUAUCUAACCAAGUGUCGGGGAGGGCGUGAGGGCCAGUCUGUCCCCACCAGCCUACGUCUCAUCUCCCAGAACCCACAGGGAUGGCUGAGAUUUUCUUCAGCCCACGUACCCGACCAGCUUGUAAAUGGUUCCCUCUCGUUUGGCUUCAGGAGUGGCAGGGCCCCUUUCUGCCUGACCUCCAGCACACGUGCUGACGUUUGUCGGUGGCUGAGUCCUUUUCCACCAGCAGCAUGGAGUCUGAGGCGUCAGGUGGGACCACUUCCUUUCUCUGGGCCCAGGAAGGUGUUCUGUGGGCAUUCUUCCUUAGAAAGAAAAGAACCAAGCUCGCCAUUUAUCCUUGCGUUUGGAGCCUGGCAUCGUCAGGAACUGCACUGACCUUGCAAAACACUCCACCUGCCGUUUCCAAGAAAUAUUCUGUUCUCUGAGAUUGCUGGAGCCCAGACCAUCAUCAAUGAUGCAAACCUGAAGUCAGAGCUGAGAAAGGCCCCUGAUACACACACCAGUAGUGGUCUGUAAGACUCUCACCGGCUUGUUCUCACCGGCUUGAUCAAAACCCACUGCUUAUUACUGGCUCUUUUAUUUGUCUAUGUUUGUAUGAAUACAGUUUGUUAAACUGUACUAGGAUUGUUCUUAUGCCCAAACUUUGUAUUUUUGAAAAGAUACAAGGCUACAGACCAUUAUUGUUCCUAAAAACAAAAACAGCAAUGUGAUUCUUACAUAUGUGGAAUAUACAUAACUCAGAUCCCCUACAUUUGAGACUUACAGAAAGGAAGUAUAGGGAUUGGGGCCUCACUUGUUGAGGGGGGUGGGCUAGGAUAGGGCCACCCCCAAUGUCUCCAUCCAGGUGAGAGCACAAGAAACCGGGGAGGGGGGCGGCAAGUUCUUUAGGGCCCCCCAGGGAAGCCAGCCUCUGAGCCUAGAACUCAAAUCCCCUAUGUUUCAUGGCACAACCUGGAUGUUCCUCCCAUAAGUGCAUGUGGAGAGGACUGGCCCAGCACCCACUGCACUGACUGACCACCCAGCAUGAAACAGUGGUCACAAGGCUUGGUUUCCAGGUAGCUCUUUUAUCUUGGGCAAGUCAUUUUACUCCUCUGGUCCUCAGUUUCCAUGCAAAUCUGUGCAUAAAGGUCUCUCCUGGCUCUAAAAGGUCAGGAGUCUGUAAAAAACAUCAGCCACGGAGCUGGCAAAGAGAUUGAUGGGGACUUGUCAGGGGCAUCAUUGUCGCUGUCCUCACUAGUUGAGGGUGGGCAGAGGCUGGACGACCCUGCAGACCAGUGACCUGAGGUUUCUCCCGUCCCCCUGACCUCAUUGGUCUGCCUCCUUCUUGGGCCCAAGGUUGUCAGACUCUCCUCUCCUUGGGAGACAGUCACAGUGGGUUCUAGCUCUAUGUUCUUUGAUGUUUCCUGUCAGAGUGACUUGAAAUCCCAGAUCUUCAAGUAGCCCCUUCACGCAUAGCUUUUCUUUUCUUGGAAAUGCUGAUCCUCCAUUGACACCCCACCCCUGCAGUGGAGUAGAGCUGCCUGGGCCACUUCCGUGACGGCAGGUCUACGCGAGUCACAGGGAUUUGAAGCUGAAGGGACCUUCUCGAGCGUUGACUCCAACUCUUUUAUUUCCUAGAUGAGAAUAAAAGGCCCCAAGAGGGGAAGUGACUCCA